AACGUCCUACGGGGGGCAGCAGUGAGGAAUAUUGGUCAAUGGGCGGAAGCCUGAACCAGCCAAGUCGCGUGAGGGAAUAAGGCCCUACGGGUCGUAAACCUCUUUUGCCGGGGAGCAAGGGCCGGGACGAGUCCCGGUCCGGAGAGUACCCGGAGAAAAAGCAUCGGCUAACUCCGUGCCAGCAGCCGCGGUAAUACGGAGGAUGCGAGCGUUAUCCGGAUUUAUUGGGUUUAAAGGGUGCGUAGGCGGGCUUUUAAGUCAGCGGUAAAAAUUCGGGGCUCAACCCCGUCCGGCCGGU
rnacentral:rRNA from 1 species